UUGAAUGUAAAUUUGUAAUAAAUGAUCAAUAGAUGGAGAUAGUGUAAAAACGCGUCAGGUGGAAUCAUCUUCAGUUUUUAAAAAAUGUUGAAAUUAUUGUUUUUUGAGCUUGUUGAUCACGUCUGAGACAGGUAGGCUAAGGCCUUUUGCUUUACAAAAAUUGCUGAUGGGAGCUUCGCCGAAGGUUGCUGACCUUCUUACCAAAUGUUGUUGACUCCAACAGGAUGGAAAGAAAGUUUUCACUGGGGGAAAAGAAGCGUUGAUGCGAAGAAGCAGGAGCAUUUAUAAUCGUGGUUAGUGAGCCAUGUCAACAAUGGGUUGACGCUAAUAUCAUGUUGAUCAUGCAAACGUGUCCAAGGGGAUGGAAGGGAUUUAAGAUGGUGCAAAGAAGGCGAAGAUGAGAAGAGCAAAAAAGAUUAUGAAGAAAGCAAAAAGGAGAACAAGAAGAAGCUAAAUGAAGAAAGAGGAAGAGCAAAGAGGAGCUGGUAACCUUGCUGAAACGGAAUGUCCAGCCAACCAUCAAAUAGUUAUUGUGACCUUAAGCCAAUGUCUACAAAAAAAGAUGAAAGACAACAGCAAAAGCAGAAGUAACAACAACAACCUGAAGCUACAAAAACCAAUAGCAGAUCAAGUUAUCUCAUUAAAUUACCAAAAAACUGUUUAUACCAGCUAAAGCCAUAAUUUGACCUGAAACUUAUCCUAGUUGAUUUUGGCCUUUCUUUUACUUUUUUACUUCGUUACCUAAACAUUUGGAUUGGUGGUUGGAAAAAUUGUUACCUUUAAAAGAUGAUCCAUGAGAUUCAGUGAGAUCAGCAUCAUUUGAAAGAUCAUCAUCAUCUAAGUUAUGGUUUAAAGUUGACGCACUAUUGAAAUAUGAAUGUUCUGAUUGGACGGUUUCGGACAUGAGGCGAUCGUUAAGAAUGAUUACAUUAUAACUGCGAUUAUCUGAAUCAUUCCAAUCGUUCUGGGUAAAAAAAGAGAUGAGAGAGAAACCAAAAAUCAUGCAGAAAAAGGAAAAAAAUGGGAGAAAAAAGAAAACAAAUAAUAAGUUAAUAAUACAGAAUUGAUAACAGAAAUGAAAAUCAAAUUGACUAAAUAAUAAUGUCAAGGAAAGGAUGGGGAAAAGGAAGGAAAAUCAAUAAAAAAAUGUUGAAAUUAAUUGUUACAUUUCCAUGUUCAUUAAGAGAAAAGAAGAGCUAAUUUUAUUGGGUUAUCAAUUAUUAAUUGUUAUCUAUUGCUGGUAAAAUGUAUAAUAAUUUCAUGGUUCAAAUGAAUGCCUAUUUCAAAUCAAGA